rnacentral:rRNA from 1 species
UACGUAGGGGGCAAGCGUUGUCCGGAUUCAUUGGGCGUAAAGAGCGUGUAGGCGGCCAGGUAGGUCGGUUGUGAAAACUGGAGGCUCAACCUUCAGAGGUCGACCGAAACCAUCUGGCUAGAGUCCGGGAGAGGAGAGUGGAAUUCCUGGUUUAGCGGUGAAAUGCGCAGAUAUCAGGAAGAACACCCGUGGCGAAAGCGGCUCUCUGGAACGGUACUGACGCUGAGACGCGAAAGCGUGGGUAGCAAACAGG